UACAGAGGUGCCAAGCGUUAGGCGGAAUCACUGGGCUUAAAGCGCGUGUAGGUGGACGGGUAAGUAUCUUGUGAAAUCCCACGGCUCAACCGUGGAACUGCUGGAUAUACUGCUUGUCUUGAGGCACUAGGGGCAGCUGGAACAAAUGGUGGAGCGGUGAAAUGCGUAGAUAUCAUUUGGAACGCCAAAGGCGAAAGCAGGCUGCUGGGAGUGAUCUGACACUGAGACGCGAAAGCCAGGGGAGCAAACGGG
rnacentral:rRNA from 1 species